GUAGGGAAUAUUGGGCAAUGGAUGCAAGUCUGACCCAGCCAUCCCGCGUGCCGGAAGAAGGCCCUCAGGGUUGUAAACGGCUUUUGACGGUGAAGAAUCGACAGGAUGCGUCCUGUUUUGACGGUAGCCGUUGAAUAAGCACCGGCUAACUCCGUGCCAGCAGCCGCGGUAAUACGGAGGGUGCGAGCGUUGUCCGGAUUUAUUGGGUUUAAAGGGUGCGUAGGCUGGAAGGUCAGUCAGCGGUGAAAAGCUGUCGCUUAACGAUAGUCUUGCCGCAGAUACUUCCUUUCUUGGAUGUGGAGGAGGCCACUGGAACGGAUGGUGUAGCGGUGAAAUGCAUAGAUAUCAUCCAGAACACCGAUUGCGAAGGCAGGUGGCUGUACCUUAAUCGACGCUGAUGCACGAAAGCAUGGGGAGCAAACAGGAUUAGAAACCCGGGUAGUCC
rnacentral:rRNA from 1 species